UCGGGUAUGGUGUAGCGGUAACAUCUGCGACUCUCAAAUUCGAGUGCUCGCAAGCCCGGGGUUCGACUCCCCGUAUCCGAG
rnacentral:tRNA from 1 species